rnacentral:rRNA from 1 species
UACGAAGGGGGCUAGCGUUGUUCGGAUUCAUUGGGCGUAAAGGGUGCGUAGGCGGCGCGGUAAGUCGGGUGUGAAAUCUCGGAGCUUAACUCCGAAACUGCAUUCGAUACUGCCGUGCUUGAGGACUGGAGAGGAGACUGGAAUUUACGGUGUAGCGGUGAAAUGCGUAGAUAUCGUAAGGAAGACCAGUGGCGAAGGCGGGUCUCUGGACAGUUACUGACACUGAGGCACGAAGGCCAGGGGAGCAAACGGG